rnacentral:rRNA from 1 species
UACAGAGGGGGCAAGCGUUGUUCGGCAUUUCUGGGCGUAAAGGGCGCGUAGGCGGCCUGUUAAGUCGAACGUGAAAUCCCUCGGCUCAACCGGGGAACUGCGUCUGAUACUGGGUGGCUUGAAUCCGGGAGAGGGAUGCGGAAUUCCAGGUGUAGCGGUGAAAUGCGUAGAUAUCUGGAGGAACACCGGUGGCGAAGGCGGCAUCCUGGACCGGCAUUGACGCUGAGGCGCGAAAGCCAGGGGAGCAAACGGG